CCUACGGGGGGCAGCAGUGGGGAAUAUUGGACAAUGGGGGGAACCCUGAUCCAGCGACGCCGCGUGAGUGAAGAAGUAUUUCGGUAUGUAAAGCUCUAUCAGCAGGGCAGAAAGAAAUGACGGUACCUGACUAAGAAGCCCCGGCUAACUACGUGCCAGCAGCCGCGGUAAUGCGUAGGGGGCAAGCGUUAUCCGGAUUUACUGGGUGUAAAGGGGGCGUAGACGGCGAUGCAAGUCUGAAGUGAACGGCGGGGGCCCAACCCCCGGACUGCUUUGGAAACUGUAUGGCAGGAGUGCAGGAGAGGUAAGUGGAAUUCCUAGUGUAGCGGUGAAAUGCGUAGAUAUGAGGAGGAACACCAGUGGCGAAGGCGGCUUACUGGACUGUAACUGACGUGGAGGCUCGAAAGCGUGGGGAGCAAACAGGAUUAGAUACCCCGGUAGUC
rnacentral:rRNA from 1 species